UUUUCUUACCCUUUGGAAAGUCAGAUUUUUCUGAGGAAGAUCUUCUUGUGAACUUGCUUGCUGCAGCAAAAUCAGUAGAAACAAACAAGCCAUCUGGUGCAAAAGGAGUAUACUGGAAAAGUGCACAUAUAUGCUCAUCAAUGGGGCCUUCCGUUCGGUUAAAUAUAAGGGAAAUGCUUGAUUUCAAGCCUGCGACUUUGAAUGUUUAAGGAAAUAUAAAUACACAUGUAAAUUAUAUCUUCUAAACUAUUCAGUUAGCUUCUUGGUUUCCUCCACAGUGACUUGUGAAUGUUUGAAAAGGGUAGGACACAAGCUGAGUUGAAUAUGAUAGGGAGGUAUUCAGAUUCAUGUUUGCAUUUACAAAGAGCAUUGCAUUGGCUUCUAUAUGCCAGUUGUAUCAAAAUCUUGUAUUGGUAUCACGAACUUUUUUUUAUGUAUUUUAUUUUAUUUGUAUGUUAAUA